GUGCAAUCCAUAUGAUAGUGCAUCUAGUUUCUUCAAAGAAACCAAUGUCUUUACUGCGGAACCAAUGCCGUCUUUGUCUACAGCUGCUUUCUUGUGCCCCCCAACACAGGAGAUUAUAUUAAUAGCUGAUGAACAGCAAGCUGACAGUGUGGCAGUAGAAAAUUCUACACCCAAAACAGCAGCUACUCCGAAGAGUGUCAAUUUUUCGACUAAGAAAAAAGGUAAAUUAAA